rnacentral:lncRNA from 1 species
UUUUUUUUUUUUUUUUUUUCCUUCCCCCUCCAUAAACAAGUGAUUAAUGCCUUGCAAAAAGGCACAGACACACCUUCCCCACAGCAAGGGAGCCCCUGCCAGAUUCCCCAGCCUUAAUUCUGCUGUUAACACCCCUCAGGGGGAGGGGUGAAGAGUAAAUCCCCUCCUGCAAGAAGCAGACCUGCGGGCAAUGUGGUUUGUUUAAAGUCUCUGAGCUGAGCCACCGACCUCCCAUUUGCUCUGAUGACGUGAGUACUUCAAAAAGAAAAAGAAAAAAACAAAAAAAAAAAACCAACUCAUCUUUACCUAAGGCAGCACCCAGUUUGUAAAUGUCUCUGCAUAGGACCCUCCCAAAUGGACAUGACCAUGGCAGAAUUUUCCCUUCCUUCUCCCAGCGCCAGUGAACAGAGGGGGGAGCUCCAUGAAUCAACAUUUUCAGAGAGUUUCACAGGCUCCUUUUUCCAUUGAGUUUGCAAGGGGCAUCUUGACUGAAUUAAGAAAUAAAUUCCUGACGAACUUGUGCACACUUUUGGACAAUGAACGAACUGAACACUGAGUGCAAGAAGAAAUCUUAGGCACAUUUAUUUAUUUAUUAUUUAUUUUUUAUUUAUUUUUUGUUUGUUUUUUUUUUGUCUUUUUGUCUUUUCUAGGGCCUCUCCCUUGGCACAUGGAGGUUCCCAGAAAAAGCAAAAAGACAAAAAAGAAAAAAGAAAAGAAAAGUUUGGAAACCAUUAGCCUAGACCAUGAAAACCAGUAGACAUUUAAUCCCUGCUCUGCCAAAUGUAGCCAAAGAGCAGGUUGGCCAAAGAGGAACAAUGAAAUCUAACAUUUACUGGGCACCAGUUCUGUGGCAAGGAUUAGAAUAAAUUCUCUCUCCUGAGUGAUCUUGUCUUUCCUGUUCAUCAGCUGUGAGAGACUAAUAGGACUGGCUCCAUUUUUAUGGAUAAGGAAACUGAGGCCCCGAGAGGCACGAUCUGGUGCCAAAACAAGAAUAGUCACUGAUGAGCUAAGACAUCUAGCCAUUAGGAGUUUUUUCUCUGUGACCUUGGAACAAUUACUUUUCCUCUCUGAGCCUUAGUCUCCCCAGUCUUAGAGGACUGGGCUAAGGAUUCAUUGGGUCCAUUGUAACUCUUUGGUCUUCAUCCCCCUCCUCCAUGACCUUCCUGUUGCUUCCUUUCUUCUGUCUUCCCAGGAAUGUGUCAGAGGCAGCCUGGUAUGGCAGAAAGAGAACCUGAGUACUGAGUUCCAAUUCUAAUCCUGUCUUACGCAGACCCUGGUGAAUCACUUAACCUCUCUGAGCCUCACUUUCCCCAACAAUAAAAUGGGGAGGAAAAGAAGAACUACCUUUGAGCAUUGCUGGGAUGAUGGAGUCGAUGAAUGGAGUGCCCAGUCCAGCAGGCGCGAUAUAGCAGGUGUUCAAGUAAAGGUGCAUUCUCUGCACUGCUUUCUCUCAACUUCCCCAGUCACCCCCAUGGCUUGGUUCAUCCCCCUUCCCCGGGCUCGGCUGAAAUGUCACCUUCUCAGUGAGGCCUCCUCUGACCACCCUUUAAAACUAAAUGCCUUUGGCGUUGAUAGAUGCAACCUGUUGCAUUUGGAGUGGAUGGGCAAUGAGACCCUGCUGUAAAGCACAGGAAACUAUAUCUAGUCACUUGCGAUGAAGCAUGAUGGAGGAUAAUGUGAGAAAAAAAAUGUGUGUGUGUGUGUGUGUGUGUGUGUGUGUGUGUGUGUGUGUGUAUGACUGGGUCACUUUGCUGUACCACAGAAAUUGGCAGAACAUUGUAAAUCAACUAGAAUAGAAAACAAUAAAAAUCUUUAAAAAAAUAAAUAAAUAAAACUAAACCCUACGAUCCCCCAUUUACAACUCCAUUUUCUGAUUUACUUUUUUCUGUGAGACUCAUCACCACCAAACAUUUAUUUUUCCUGUUUAUUGUGCUUCUCAUUAUUCUCUCCCCUCCUGGAAAGGCCUUGGGAAUCAGUCAUUUUUACGUGCCUGGCUUGCUGCUGUUUUCUUAGCCUAAGAGACAUAGUGGGUCCUUGUAGAUAUUUGCUGAAUGAAAAUGAGAUGAAUGAAUGAAUAUUUGAUCUGGUAAUGAUACCUUCAGAUAAUGCAGGAAAAGCACAGGGCAUCGGUCUUGCACAGAGUAGCUGGGCCAUAAAUGCUCUUGUUCUUGUUUUAUUGGGACCCCAGAAUCCGCUGAGGUUACCCUGUUCAACUUUAAGCUAUACUCGAUUUACCUGAGGAUGUUUCAACAGUUUCCAGCUUUCUUAUUUCUAUUAUCCCUUAAACAGACCUCCAAGUGCCUGUCCCAGUAGCUCAGAGUUCUCUAAGCUGUAUUUCACCAAAGGCUGUAACUGUUACUGUCCCAGGGCCAUUUGCAACUUUCCUUUCCUGAGCACAGAGGUUUGACUAAGCACUUUGUUUAAAGGCAGGAAAUGCAUCAGCUCCCUGUCUUAAUCUUUUUGAAGCGGUUACCCAGGGCUAAGGUCGGGCUUGUCUACAGAUGCUUUGUGCCAAAAGAGUGCCACAGGUAUUAUGGUGUCGGUGAAGAAGAAAAAGCAGUCAUUCUUUAGGUGGGAAUGAAUUCUUUAUGUUUCAGAGGGGGCAGAGCUGCCCAGAACAUCACCCUAGAGGUGGAGCAUGGGUGUGUUAGGAUGGGGGUACUGACAGACACUUUGGGGAGAAACUUGCCCUCUCUGAGCCAAACCAUCCCAAGCCAGGCCUUGCUCCCCUCUGGGCCUGCUGAGAAUUAUUCCUUGAAACGUUGUUGAUAAUGGCUUUCCUCUCUGUGCUAGCACGAGGUAUCUGCUGAGGGACAUCCAGGGAUCAAACCCGCAUCCAUAGACAUGGAUACUAUGUCAGAUUCUUAACCCGCUGAGCCACAAUGAGAACUCCUGCUUUUAUAUUUUUAAUAUUGCUUUUAUUCAAAAUUGUAAUCUUAGACCAAGAAGAGAAUUUUGAGGCGGUAUCCACAGGCUUCAUGAGAUUGUCCAAAGCAUCUGUGAUCCAAAAAGGUGGUGAAGCCAUUCUUGGUGAUGGAGAAGAGGAAGGGAGGCCUUGAGCCAUGAUUCUGGGGCUCAGGGAGUUGCAGAGCUUAGAAACCCAAAGUGGGAACACAGGAUCCUUGAUAUGGUGACACCAUUAAAAAGCUUUAGGAAAGCACACUGAGCAGUAUUCUCCAAAAAUGUCAAAAGGGGAGUUCCCUGUGGGCCUAGCAGUGAAGGAUCCAGCAUUGUCACUGCUAUGGUGUAAGUUUGAUGCCUGGCCCAGGAACUUUCACAUGUCACUGGUAGAGCCAAACCCACUCCCCCUCCAAAAUGUCCAAAGGGGUUCCAGGGUGGAAGCAGAACAUAGCUUUUUGUUUAUUUAUUUUAGAGCUGAACCUGCGACCUAUGGAGGGUCCCAGGCUAGGGGUUGAAUUGGAACUGCAGUUGCCGGCCUACACCACAGCCACAGCAGUGCCAGAUCUUUAACCCACUCAGAGAGGCCAGGGAGCGAACCC